rnacentral:rRNA from 1 species
CACCGCCCGUCACACCAUGGGAGUUGAUUGCUCCAGAAGUGGCUGAGCCAACCCGCAAGGGAGGCAGGUCCCCAAGGAGUGAUCGGUAACUGGGGUG